GACGAACGCUGGCGGCGUGCUUAACACAUGCAAGUCGAACGGAGUGGCGAACGGGUGAGUAACACGUGGGUGAACUGCCCCUCACUUCGGGAAAAGCCUGGGCCACUGGGUCUCAUACCGGUAAGGGUGGGAUGGGUACGCGGUCUUGCGGCUUGUUGGAGGGGGAAUGGCCUGACACGGCGGCGCCGGGUAGCCGGCCUGAGAGGGUGGGCGGCCACAAUGGGACUGAUACACGGACCAGACGCAGACGUGAGGCAGAAGGGGGGAAGAGUGCACAACUGGCGGAGGCCUGAUGCAGGGACGCUGCGGGGGUGAUGGUGGCAUUCGUGUUGCAAACUCCUAUCACCAUCGCUGCGGUAAAUGGAGAAGAAGCAGCGGCUAACUACGUGCCAGCCGCCGCGGUUAUAC
rnacentral:rRNA from 1 species